AUGGCUUUGUGUGAAGGGGCAAAGGCCUAGAUAUAUAAGGCUCUGUGUAGGCCCAGUGACCGUGAGAAAUGGGAUUUCACCGUAAGACCAUGAGAAAUCGUCCCAAACCGUGAGACUCACGUAUGGUCAAACCGUGAGAGUUGAGAGUUUGAAGAGGUCUAGGGAGCCGUCUACUAUACAAUCUCUUGUGGAUCGAUCGAGGUAUCGAGUGGGGCAGCUAGGUGGUGAGUAGCAAGAAGGGAAAGGAUAAGAGGAAGGUGCAGGAUCCUGCAGGAGCAUAAGUAUGAUGGACGCAAGUCUUGAUCAGUACGAGCAGCAACAUUCAAGGCACUAGAUGAUCUAGUGAACUGUACAUAUGUCUUAUAAUAGGGAACGUUCGUGAGGCUGCAUGCUAGUUGCAGUAAUGUAUCUAAUAUGCUAGAUUUAUCAUCUAGUCAAGUGUAACUAGACUAUUGCUGUUAGUGUUUGAGUGGCACAUAUAUAGAUUGCGUUAGACUGUCUGUCAUUAGAUGGACAUGAUUGUACAUACUCAUUAAAACCUUGUAUUAUUUCAGAAUAGUAAAUUGACAUCAUCAUUGAAUUAUCACAUACCGGUAGCAAUGCUGCCAUUACACAUACGGGACUCCAUCAAUAAAUGUAUUGAAUUUGACUCACUGUUAGUCAGUUAAUUCAUUAAUUAACCAAUUUGCAUUGCAAAUAGAUAUUUAAAAGCUUAACUCACAGAACUAACU